rnacentral:rRNA from 1 species
UAGGUAAUGGCUUACCAAGCCGUUGAUCGGUACGGGUUGUGAGAGCAAGAGCCCGGAGAUGGAACCUGAGACAAGGUUCCAGGCCCUACGGGGUGCAGCAGGCGCGAAACCUCCGCAAUGUGAGAAAUCGCGACGGGGGGAUCCCAAGUGCCAUUCUUAACGGGAUGGCUUUUCAUUAGUGUAAAGAGCUUUUGGAAUAAGAGCUGGGCAAGACCGGUGCCAGCCGCCGCGGUAACACCGGCAGCUCUAGUGGUAACAAUUUUUAUUGGGCCUAAAGCGUCCGUAGCCGGUUUAAUAAGUCUCUGGUGAAAUCCUGUAGCUUAACUGUGGGAAUUGCUGGAGAUACUAUUAGACUUGAGACCGGGAGAGGUUAGAGGUACUCCCAGGGUAGAGGUGAAAUUCUGUAAUCCUGGGAGGACCGCCUGUUGCGAAGGCGUCUAACUGGAACGGUUCUGACGGUGAGGGACGAAAGUUAGGGGCGCGAACCGGAUUAGAUACCCGGGUAGUCCUAACUGUAAACGAUGCGGACUUGGUGUUGGGGUGGCUUUGAGCUGCUCCAGUGCCGAAGGGAAGCUGUUAAGUCCGCCGCCUGGGAAGUACGGUCGCAAGACUGAAACUUAA